rnacentral:rRNA from 1 species
UACGGGGGGUGCGAGCGUUGUCCGGAAUCACUGGGCGUAAAGGGCGCGUAGGUGGUUUGAUAAGGGUGUGGUGAAAGUCCGGGGGCUCAACCCCCGGAUCUGCCGUGCCCGACUGUCAAACUCGAGGACUGUAGAGGCAGACGGAAUUCCGGGUGUAGCGGUGGAAUGCGUAGAGAUCCGGAGGAAGACCGGUGGCGAAGGCGGCCUGCUGGGCUAUGGCUGACACUGAGGCGCGACAGCGUGGGGAGCGAACAGG